UGUUGGGCCAUCUGUAAACACUGGCCGGAAGCUGGCAACGGACUGUUUUCUGUCAAGAGGCUGCAGAGACAGUGGUCUCUACUGUCACCCAGGAACCCAGUUCUAAGAUGUCUCACAUUGUACCCAGAAAAAUCGGAUCUUUGCUGUAUCAGAAACACUGGAUGGUCCUCCUGUUGAAAAACAUUAAUUUGGAUGUGGAAUGCACCUCCCCUCAAAGGCUCAUGCUUUAAGGACUUGGUCUUUGGCUGGUGGUGUGAUUGGGAGCGGUGGUGGUGGAAACUUCAGGAGGUAGGGUUCAAUCGGAAGAAGCAGGAGCUCAGCGCUUUGCACACCUUAUUUCUGACUGCCCCCGGUCUGAGAGUUCACUAUGCGGAAUCGGUUUUCACUGCUGGCCUCCAGUAUAUGUUCCUGAUGCUCCUAGGCACUUCCGGAGCUGAUAACAUGUCACCAGGAAAGAGCCACAAAGGAUCCCUUUGUGUGAACCAUGAAACAAAUAUGUGUCUCACCUAUGAAAGGGGACAAAUGUCAAGGUUUCCCUUUAUUUCCUGGAAAGAUCAGAACCCCUACGGGAAAUAAAUUAAGCCAG